CUCAAUCUCCUGACCUCGUGAUCCGCCCGCCUCGGCCUCCCAAAGUGCCGGGAUUACAGGCGAGAGCCACCACGCCCCACCAAAAAAAAUAUUCUUUAAUUUUUUUUAAGGUCAGCUUUCCUCCCUGGGCAAAAGAUUUGGAGGCAGUGUGUUUCCUUGCAAGCAGCCAGGUCUGGCCAAGGGCAGGAGGCUUGGGUAUUAGAUAGUCCUGGCUUCAACGCUUUGCUCCGCUGGUUAGAAGCUGGGUGCCCUCGGGAAAAUCACCAAACCUCUCUGGGCUUUGGCUUCCUGCUUUGUAAUAUCAGCAAAUUAUCCUUACCCCACGGGGGGAGUCUGUGUGAAUCGGUGAAGACAGCAUCUAGAAACCACCAAGGGAGACUGGCACCCCGGAGGAGACCCAGACAGGUGAGCCUCUGCCUGCCCCGCUUCCAGCUCUUUCUCGUCACACCUGCUGAAUACCACGCCUGUGACAUUAGCAUGCUCAUUGGAAGUGGGUGCUGGAAUUGUCACUGGCUCUUUCUGAAUCCCAUAGAUGCUGUCCCCAGAGCCUGCAUUUCGGCAUCUGGUUACGCUGUACAUGGUGGCAAAUUUGACAGGUGCCCAUCUCCCAACCCUUUGACCUCUACCUGCCCCCUCUCAGCACUCGUGGUGCAUGAAGCCAUCAUGGGCACCCUUAGCACCCCAAGCUGCUCCCACCUCCCACUUCCUGAGCCCAGUAGCAGGGGCUCAGGCAUCGGUAGAAGGAAAUGCUCUGUAGCUUUUGCAAACUGAUACGGAAAAGAGAGUUUGGGAUAUGGUGGCUCAUGCCUAUAAUCCCAGCACUUUGUGCGGCCGAGGCGGGCAGAUCACUUGAAGUCAGGAGUUCGAGACCAGCCUGGCCAACAUGGUGAUCCACCUGCCUUGGCCUCCCAAAGCACUGGG
rnacentral:lncRNA from 1 species